CGACCUUAGGAGGGAACACCCUUACCCUC
rnacentral:sRNA from 1 species